UACGGGGGGGGCAAGCGUUGUUCGGAAUUACUGGGCGUAAAGGGCGCGUAGGCGGCCUGCUAAGUCGGAUGUGAAAUCCCUCGGCUCAACCGAGGAACUGCAUCCGAUACUGGCGGGCUUGAAUCCGGGAGAGGGAUGUGGAAUUCCAGGUGUAGCGGUGAAAUGCGUAGAUAUCAGGAGGAACACCGGUGGCGAAGGCGGGAUCCUGGGCCAGUACUGACGCUGAGGAGCGAAAGCGUGGGGAGCAAACAGG
rnacentral:rRNA from 1 species